GCCGGUGUGGCGGAAUGGCAGACGCGGCAGACUCAAAAUCUGUUUGUGGCAACACAGUGCGGGUUCAAGUCCCGCCACCGGCA
rfam:Clostridium sp. CAG:510 genomic scaffold, scf2